rnacentral:rRNA from 1 species
GACGAACGCUGGCGGCGUGCUUAACACAUGCAAGUCGAACGGAAAGGCCCUGCUUGCAGGGUAUUCGAGUGGCGAACGGGUGAGUAACACGUGGGUGAUCUGCCCUGCACUUCGGGAUAAGCCUGGGAAACUGGGUCUAAUACCGGAUAGGAGCCAUUUUUAGUGUGAUGGUUGGAAAGUUUUUUCGGUGUAGGAUGAGCUCGCGGCCUAUCAGCUUGUUGGUGGGGUAAUGGCCUACCAAGGCGGCGACGGGUAGCCGGCCUGAGAGGGUGGACGGCCACAUUGGGACUGAGAUACGGCCCAGACUCCUACGGGAGGCAGCAGUGGGGAAUAUUGCACAAUGGGCGCAAGCCUGAUGCAGCGACGCCGCGUGGGGGAUGACGGCCUUCGGGUUGUAAACUCCUUUCGCUAGGGACGAAGCUUUUUGUGACGGUACCUAGAUAAGAAGCACCGGCUAACUACGUG